rnacentral:rRNA from 1 species
UACGUAGGGUGCGAGCGUUGUCCGGAAUUAUUGGGCGUAAAGGGCUCGUAGGCGGUCUGUCGCGUCGGGUAUGAAAACUCAGGGCUUAACCCUGAGCCUGCUUCCGAUACGGGCAGACUAGAGGUAUGCAGGGGAGAACGGAAUUCCUGGUGUAGCGGUGAAAUGCGCAGAUAUCGGGAAGAACACCCGUGGCGAAGGCGGCUCUCUGGAACGCAACUGACGCUGAGACGCGAAAGCGUGGGGAGCAAACAGG